rnacentral:rRNA from 1 species
GAGCUUGCUCCAUCAGAAAGAAAAAGAGUGGCGAACGGGUGAGUAACACGUGGGUAACCUGCCCAUCAGAAGGGGAUAACACUUGGAAACAGGUGCUAAUACCGUAUAACACUAUUUUCCGCAUGGAAGAAAGUUGAAAGGCGCUUUUGCGUCACUGAUGGAUGGACCCGCGGUGCAUUAGCUAGUUGGUGAGGUAACGGCUCACCAAGGCAACGAUGCAUAGCCGACCUGAGAGGGUGAUCGGCCACACUGGGACUGAGACACGGCCCAGACUCCUACGGGAGGCAGCAGUAGGGAAUCUUCGGCAAUGGACGAAAGUCUGACCGAGCAACGCCGCGUGAGUGAAGAAGGUUUUCGGAUCGUAAAACUCUGUUGUUAGAGAAGAACAAGGAUGAGAGUAAAAUGUUCAUCCCUUGACGGUAUCUAACCAGAAAGCCACGGCUAACUACGUGCCAGCAGCCGCGGUAAUACGUAGGUGGCAAGCGUUGUCCGGAUUUAUUGGGCGUAAAGCGAGCGCAGGCGGUUUCUUAAGUCUGAUGUGAAAGCCCCCGGCUCAACCGGGGAGGGUCAUUGGAAACUGGGAGACUUGAGUGCAGAAGAGGAGAGUGGAAUUCCAUGUGUAGCGGUGAAAUGCGUAGAUAUAUGGAGGAACACCAGUGGCGAAGGCGGCUCUCUGGUCUGUAACUGACGCUGAGGCUCGAAAGCGUGGGGAGCGAACAGGAUUAGAUACCCUGGUAGUCCACGCCGUAAACGAUGAGUGCUAAGUGUUGGAGGGUUUCCGCCCUUCAGUGCUGCAGCAAACGCAUUAAGCACUCCGCCUGGGGAGUACGACCGCAAGGUUGAAACUCAAAGGAAUUGACGGGGGCCCGCACAAGCGGUGGAGCAUGUGGUUUAAUUCGAAGCAACGCGAAGAACCUUACCAGGUCUUGACAUCCUUUGACCACUCUAGAGAUAGAGCUUCCCCUUCGGGGGCAAAGUGACAGGUGGUGCAUGGUUGUCG